ACGAAAAAUAACGAUACGGGACUCAUCCGAGGCCCCGUAAUCGGAAUGAGUACACUCUAAACCCUUUAACGAGGAUCAAUUGGAGGGCAAGUCUGGUGCCAGCAGCCGCGGUAAUUCCAGCUCCAAUAGCGUAUAUUAAAGUUGUUGCGGUUAAAAAGCUCGUAGUCGAAUUUGUGUCCCGCGCCGCCGGUUCAUCGCUCGCGGUGUCAACUGGCGUGUCCGCGGGACGUCCUGCCGGUGGGCUUAGCUCCUCGCGGGCGGCCCAAUCUCAAUCCCACCGCGGUGCUCUUCACUGAGUGUCGAGGCGGGCCGGCACGUUUACUUUGAACAAAUUAGAGUGCUUAAAGCAGGCUAAAAUAUCGCCUGAAUACUGUGUGCAUGGAAUAAUGGAAUAGGACCUCGGUUCUAUUUUGUUGGUUUUCGGAACCCCGAGGUAAUGAUUAAUAGGAACGGAUGGGGGCAUUCGUAUUGCGACGUUAGAGGUGAAAUUCUUGGAUCGUCGCAAGACGGACAGAAGCGAAAGCAUUUGCCAAAAACGUUUUCAUUGAUCAAGAACGAAAGUUAGAGGUUCGAAGGCGAUCAGAUACCGCCCUAGUUCUAACCAUAAACGAUGCCAGCUAGCGAUCCGCCGACGUUCCUCCGAUGACUCGGCGGGCAGCUUCCGGGAAACCAAAGCUUUUGGGAUCCGGGGGAAGUAUGGUUGCAAAGCUGAAACUUAAAGGAAUUGACGGAAGGGCACCACCAGGAGUGGAGCCUGCGGCUUAAUUUGACUCAACACGGGAAACCUCACCAGGCCCGGACACCGGAAGGAUUGACAGAUUGAGAGC
rnacentral:rRNA from 2 species